GCCUUCAUAGUGAAGAGGUAAGCACGCUCGGUGCGUAUUCGAGACGUUCGUGGUUCGAGUCCCGGUGAGGGCA
rnacentral:tRNA from 1 species